rnacentral:rRNA from 1 species
CCUACGGGAGGCAGCAGUGAGGAAUAUUGGUCAAUGGGCGCAAGCCUGAACCAGCCAUGCCGCGUGCAGGAAGACGGUCCUAUGGAUUGUAAACUGCUUUUAUUUGGGAAUAAACCUAUUUACGUGUAGAUAGCUGAAGGUACCAAAUGAAUAAGCACCGGCUAACUCCGUGCCAGCAGCCGCGGUAAU